CUUGACGUGGUGGGAGUGGCCUAGUACCUGGAAGGUUCAUCCUAAAAGGGAAGCUAAGUACCCAAAUCGGUCGCGAAUCGGUACUAGUAAUAUUAAGUAGUUUGAUUUAGAUAUGACGAGUGAAAUCGAGUGCAAUUCGUUUUCAGUAUGUCGCGAAGAAUUUGUCACGUCUUGAUUAAUUUACGGGAGUGCCGUAUAAAAAUCGCGAAAAACAUUGGACUUUAAAGUUCGUUUUAUCAGUAUUUUUUUCCGCAUAUCGCCGAGAAUCGUAUUGUUUAAUGAAUAGUAGUUGAAUUCUAUUUUCGCGAGCGAGUGCAACGAACUUUACAAGUGCAACGAAUCCUGACAACCUGAAAGGACGCAUCGGGCAACGGCGGAGUAAUCUUCAGAGACAUAUCUACACGUAGCUCCUCAACUUUGCUGCUGUGCAUCGACGCGAAUCCCAAGAAGAAGCGCAAACUGAAAUCAAAGAAGAACGCGCGGUUGCGAUUUCGUAAGAAGAAGAACCGCCUCAAAAGGCAACAACCGAAGGCAGAUCUGUCGGAAACAGUCCAUGAAAGUUUUGCUCUUCUUUCGCAAGGUAUUAAAUCUUUAGCAAAGCGUGCAAACUUUACACUAAAUA